GCCUCUGUAGACGAUGGAGUCGCCUCACCCACGUUUGCUGAUAACGUAGUCGUUGAGGAGAAGGGGGUUCGAAUCCCUUCAGUGGCC